CAGACCUAUAGGGGUGGGGCUACAGAUGCUCCCCAAAUCUGUGGCAGGCAUCCAGCGUGCAAGCCCAGGGCCCAGA